AACGCUGGCGGCGUGCCUAAUACAUGCAAGUUGAACGCUUGAUUUCACCGAAGCUUGCUUCACCGAAAAUCAAGAGUAGCGAACGGGUGAGUAACGCGUGGGUAACCUACCUAUCAGCGGGGGAUAACUAUUGGAAACGAUAGCUAAUACCGCAUAACAAUGUUGAAUGCAUAUUCGACAUUUGAAAGUACCAACUGGUACACUGAGAGAUGGACCCGCGUUGUAUUAGCUAGUUGGUAGUGUAAUGGACUACCAAGGCGAUGAUACAUAGCCGACCUGAGAGGGUGAUCGGCCACAUUGGGACUGAGACACGGCCCAAACUCCUACGGGAGGCAGCAGUAGGGAAUCUUCGGCAAUGGACGAAAGUCUGACCGAGCAACGCCGCGUGAGUGAAGAAGGUUUUCGGAUCGUAAAACUCUGUUGUUAGAGAAGAACGUUGCAUAGAGUGGAAAAUUAUGCAAGUGACGGUAUCUAACCAGAAAGGGACGGCUAACUACGUG
rnacentral:rRNA from 1 species